GUGCCCUUCCGGCAGCACAUAUACAAAAAUUGUAACAAUACAGAGAUGAGCAUGGCCCCUAGGCAGGGAUGACUCGCAAAUUUGCGAAGCGUUCCAUAAGUAU
ensembl:snRNA U6 U6 spliceosomal RNA